rnacentral:lncRNA from 1 species
CCAGACAGGGCUGGAGGAGCAAUUGGAGGAGCCCAGCAGGCUGGACACAUGUGGAGAGUUGAUAUGGAAACUGAGCCCUCACACAUGGACUGAAUUCUGACAAGCAGAGGAUAAAGGCAGAACAACAUGACUGAAGGCGAUGAGGAACAGCUGAUCACCUGUGGAAGUCAUUUGUCCUAAAUUGUCAUGGACAGACCAUGUGCCUUACAGCAAGAAAAUUCUGUGAAUAAACAGGAAGCCAGCCAGCCAGGGAAGAUGCUUUUGUGAUAUAUCCCAGCAUGCUGAUGACCCCAAGGAGGACCACUGGAUACCUAGCAAGGAGCUGGCUGCAGCAUACCAUGAAUCCUCACAGCAACUUAAUGAGAUUCUCCCAUUGAGAAGCAUUUCUGUGAGCUCUGGAAGUCAGGUGAAAAGGAGAAGUCAUAAUCUAUGGCAGCAGCUAUGGGAAGGUACAUUUAUUAG